AGUGAACGCUGGCGGUAGGCCUAACACAUGCAAGUCGAACGGCAGCACAGUAAGAGCUUGCUCUUACGGGUGGCGAGUGGCGGACGAGUGAGGAAUACAUCGGAAUCUACUUUUUCGUGGGGGAUAACGUAGGGAAACUUACGCUAAUACCGCAUACGACCUACGGGUGAAAGCAGGGGAUCUUCGGACCUUGCGCGAUUGAAUGAGCCGAUGUCGGAUUAGCUAGUUGGCGGGGUAAAGGCCCACCAAGGCGACGAUCCGUAGCUGGUCUGAGAGGAUGAUCAGCCACACUGGAACUGAGACACGGUCCAGACUCCUACGGGAGGCAGCAGUGGGGAAUAUUGGACAAUGGGCGCAAGCCUGAUCCAGCCAUACCGCGUGGGUGAAGAAGGCCUUCGGGUUGUAAAGCCCUUUUGUUGGGAAAGAAAAACAGCAGGUUAAUACCCCGCUGUUCUGACGGUACCCAAAGAAUAAGCACCGGCUAACUUCGUG
rnacentral:rRNA from 1 species